GUAAGGAACUUCAAGUUCACAAGUCAUCUCCUUUCAAGGCAGGUGCCUGGCGUGACAUCAGGGUUAUGACCAUGCCUCUUUUCAGAACAGCACAAACUGCAUUAGUUGGCAGAAGAUGUGAUGGAAACGACUAGUGCUAAGGGAUUAAUGUGGAGCCACAGAGGAGUGUGAUAGAUUGAAGAGGCUACAUCAGUGUUUCAAGGGAAGGACCUGGCACCCAGAGCUGGGCACCAGAAUCUGGGCAUCUGACAGCACCCUAGCUUGUAUGUAAAUGCCACAGGAUUCAGGAAAAGCUGUUUUUUUCAGAAGGUGAAAGAUUCUCCAGGGCACCUUCAACUUCAUGAGGACAGGAGCUGUUGUUUUUUCAUUACCAUAUUCCCAAGUUCUAGUACAGUG
ensembl:lncRNA